rnacentral:rRNA from 1 species
UACGUAGGGGGCAAGCGUUGUCCGGAAUCAUUGGGCGUAAAGAGCGUGUAGGCGGUUCGGUAAGUCGGCUGUGAAAGUCCAGGGCUCAACCCUGGGAUGCCGGUCGAUACUGCCGGACUAGAGUUCGGAAGAGGCGAGUGGAAUUCCCGGUGUAGCGGUGAAAUGCGCAGAUAUCGGGAGGAACACCUAUGGCGAAGGCAGCUCGCUGGGACGUAACUGACGCUGAGACGCGAAAGCGUGGGGAGCGAACAGG